UUUUGAUUUAGUGUGACGUCGGCGCGAUCACAAUAAGACUGUUAGGCCACCAUAGGUGGUCGUCAGCUAUAUUUAUUUGUCUUCGCAUACAUUUAGACGCAUAUACAAAUAGUAUUAGAGUAGGCCGUGAUAUUUACAAGCAGGGACAUAAUUUCUAGUCUAAACUGUGAUAUUUUGGUAUUUUUUAACAAUUAUUUCUUAGUAGAAUCGAUAUCGAUUAUUCAGUAUUUUUGUGGGGGUGGGUAGUAUUUUGGCACAUGUGUAAAAAGGAGAAGAAGAAAGCUACAAUUGCUUGUUUACAUUUGUGGAAAUGGCUGUGAUAUUCUAAUUGUAAGUAUUAAAAUGUUAGAUAUCUGUUAACUUAAAUUUUAGGCUCUCUGAUAUUAGGGGGCGUGUUUUCCGAUGCGUAGCUUUCCACCACAGAUGCCCUGGUCGACGCCUUUGGAUCCUCGGUUCGAUUUUUGAUGUCCGUAUUAGAUGUCUCGUGCUGACGUCUGUCUGCUGCAGCUGCCAUGAAGACAUCAAAAAACCAGUGAGCAGCAGGCCUACAGCCGGCCACUGUAGGCGUUGUAGUGGCCCUCUCGUGCUAUUGGAAAUUGGAUCUGGUCCAGUCCGUGCGGAAGUGGGUGUAUUUAGUCGCUCCAUGC
rnacentral:lncRNA from 1 species